rnacentral:rRNA from 1 species
CCUACGGGAGGCAGCAGUGGGGGAUAUUGCACAAUGGGGGGAACCCUGAUCCAGCGACGCCGCGUGAGUGAAGAAGUAUUUCGGUAUGUAAAGCUCUGUCAGCAGGGAAGAAAAUAACAGUACCUGCCGAAGAAGCCCCGGCUAAGUACGUGCCAGCAGCAGCGGUAAUACGUAGGGGGCAAGCGUUGUCCGGAUUGACUGGUGGUAAAGGAAGCGUAGACGGUUAUGUAGGUCUGGAGUGAAAGGCCGGGGCCCAACCCCGGGACUGCUCUGGAAACUGUUUAACUGGAGGACAGGAGGGGCAGGCGGAAUUCCUGGUGUAGCGGUGAAAUGCGUAGAUAGCAGGAGGAACACCGGCGGCGAAGGCGGCCUGCUGGACUGAAACUGACGUUGAGGCUCGAAAGCGUGGGGAGCAAACAGGAUUAGAUACCCGUGUAGUC